CCUANGGGUGGCUGCAGUCGAGAAUCUUCGGCAAUGGGCGCAAGCCUGACCGAGCGACGCCGCGUGCGGGAUGAAGGCCUUCGGGUUGUAAACCGCUGUCGGAGAGGCGGAAAUCUGUAGGGGUUAUCCCCUAUGGUUGACCUAAUCUCGGAGGAAGUCCGGGCUAAGUUCGUGCCAGCAGCCGCGGUAAUACGGACCGGACGAACGUUAUUCGGAAUCACUGGGCUUAAAGAGUACGUAGGCGGCUCAGAAAGUUGGGUGUGAAAUCCCUCGGCUCAACCGAGGAAUUGCGCUCAAAACUAUUGAGCUUGAGGAAGGUAGGGGUAAGCGGAACUGAUGGUGGAGCGGUGCAAUGCGUUGAUAUCAUCAGGAACACCAGUGGCGAAGGCGGCUUACUGGGCCUUGUCUGACGCUGAGGUACGAAAGCUAGGGUAGCGAACGGGAUUAGAUACCCUGNUAGUC
rnacentral:rRNA from 1 species